rnacentral:rRNA from 1 species
GUGGGGAAUCUUCCGCAAUGGACGAAAGUCUGACGGAGCGACGCCGCGUGAGUGAAGAAGGCCUUCGGGUCGUAAAGCUCUGUCAUCAGGGACGAACGGCCGGUGGAGUGGAAAGCCACCGGAUUGACGGUACCUGAGAAGGAAGCCACGGCUAACUACGUGCCAGCAGCCGCGGUAAUACGUAGGUGGCAAGCGUUGUCCGGAAUUAUUGGGCGUAAAGCGCGCGCAGGUGGGAUCUUAAGUCCAUUUUUAAAGUUCGGAGCUCAACUCCGUGAUGGGAUGGAAACUGGGAUUCUUGAGUACCGGAGAGGAAAGCGGAAUUCCCCGUGUAGCGGUGAAAUGCGUAGAUAUGGGGAGGAACACCAGUGGCGAAGGCGGCUUUCUGGACGAUGUCUGACGCUGAGGCGCGAAAGCUAGGGGAGCGAACGGGAUUAGAAACCCCAGUAGUCC